AAUAAAGCACAUGCAUGUAUAAUAUUAAUAUUUAAUAAUACUAUUAAUAAAAUUCAAUAGUGAAAUUAAUGUUAAUUUUAGAUACAUUUGUCAUCUAACUAUUAUAGAAUUUAUUUGAGUGUGUUGAGGCUAGCUCCUCAGUCUUUCCUCCCAUAUGAACUUAAUCUUUAGAUGCAUAACAUAGCUCUCAUUUUGGUGCUAGGAAAAAAAUGUGGGAUGGAAGGUUUGCAUUACUCUGUAUAGAUCAAGCCUAUAUACUAGUUACAUGAUACAAGUGGACUACCAAAAUACAUUGUGAAUUGUCAGAGAAUUGAUGAGCACAGAGAUUCUUGGAGCUUGUAAUGAGAGCAUAACUUCGUAGUUACAUAAAGGUGUAGUUCUUAGAUACAGUAGGAAAUACAGACACUUGUUUCGAAGCAAGAGUCUUUGCCACUUCCGGAUACUGAUCUCUUAACGGUAGUAAGGGUCGUGCAUCUAAGACCUGGGGGAUAACAAUUCAUGAUCAUGAUGCAUGAUUACGUAACAAACAUUUCUGCGAUUGAAUUACAAAGUGGUUUGGUCUUGUAUUGCGUUAGAAACCUAGGCUUUGUUUCCAGCCACAUCUGUGCUAACUUCACUGUGCCUUUUUUUGCUGAUUUAUUCAGGAACUUUGCAGGUUAUAAGUAAACUGACAGGGAACGAUAGCUUCCCCUAUGAAGAAAUGGUCUGGAAAGAAGCUGAAAACAGCAGAAGGCAAGGAGAGCAUCACUGGCAAGUGCUUAUGUCUUGUGUUUGACAAGAGUUAGAAGUUUUUAUUUUUCCUUUUGUCUCUCACAGGCGGUCUGAGGAGGAAGUGUGCUGUGUCAGUAAUGUUGUAGACUCUCCCAUCCAAGGCAUUCCAUCUGCUCUUGCUUUUGCUGCUCCUAACCAGACUGUGGACUUGUUUGAGAUGAUUGAAAAAAUGCAGAACUUGCAUGAUGGAAGAGCUAUACACAAAUGGUUCCAUUCUUCUCAGAAUUAUGAUUUUGAGAGAAAAUCAAAGUUGCAUAAAGGUUUUGCGCUACACAACCUGAGCUACAUCGGAUCUUCGCUUUGCUCUAGAGGAGUGAUUGUUACAUUUAGACUUGCAUCUUCUUUCCAGGAAGUGUGUUGGAAGUGA
rnacentral:lncRNA from 1 species